rnacentral:misc_RNA from 1 species
UCCCCACAGGAGAGGGAGGGAAACGUCAGUCAGUAGUCCCGAGAACUCACGAGAGUUUGUGUGUGUGUACAGUGAAUGUGUGUGUAUAUGCUGGCAGUGAAGAACCCUUCCUUCAUUUUUAGAUUUUCUUCUUUUUUUUUCUCGAAUCGACGUUGUUUUCCCUCUUGUUUGUUAUUUUCUCUCUUUUAACUGGAUCGACGAGGCCGAUGACGUUUUAAUGGAGGUCUCGUCUGCAAGGCUGGGUGCAAGUGUGUGGCCUUAAAGAACGCACAUGGGCCACAUCAUCACCAACAGGUUGGGAUUGCACAAAGUUUCGGAGGAAAAACGCGAAAACUUGCAAGCAGCGGGCGUUGCCUAGUGCCUUAGCCAUUGUGUCUGCAGCCAUUCCAGCCAAAAACACUUGCCUCUCUGCCGGACUCGAUUGGCUGUCCUUUUCUCAUGGCCAAAACACUUUUGACAGGAUACCCCAGCUAUGACAGCCCAUCUUCUCUCUCAGUUGGUUUUAGAUAGUUGCAUUUCGUUGGAAACGGGUCGGACUCCGGCUGCCGGAUCGUCUUUCUGUCGGUUCAAGCCGAACUGAAAGAGCUGGAUUUAUGCGGCUGGAUUCUGUGGACGCGUGAUGAAGUUACGUCACCAGCGUCGACAUCAUCAUCUUCAUCAUGGAACCAGAAUCGCGAUACAUUGUACAGGUGUUUGUGGGCGCCCUGUCGCCCGAAUUCGAGGCCUUAUCGAUCGAAGCCCUCAAGGGCACGACGGCCGACGAGAUGGUCUGCUGCAUCGUCGACAAGCUGCAGCUUCCCCUGCCCGUCGAAUCUUAUGAGCUGGCCGAAGUGGUGGGCAAUGCCGUCGGACAGGAGUGCAAGGAGAGGAGACUGGCCUCUCACGAACUGCCGGUCGCCCUUAUGCUCCUCUGGCCCAAAGUCUCGUCGCCGGCCCAGGAGACCGCCUCCGCCCUGGCCGCACUGGCCGCCCACCGCAAGCUUCUCCAGCGAUCCAUUUCCAGGACGCUGGAAAGUCGUCCGAUCGAAGAGGAAGGAGCCGAUUCCGGGGCCGUGGCGCCGGAUGACUCGCAGCAGUCCGAGUAUCGGUUUUACCUGCGCGAGAAGCUCAACGACACGGUGUGGUCGGAGGCGCUGAACGCGGACCCGCAAGUGAUCCGGGACUACUUUUACCGGUUCCUGUACCAGCCGCGGGAUCGCGAAUACCCCGACCUGUGCCAGUUGCCCGACUUGAACGAGGAGACUCUGAUGGACAACCUGCGGGCCCGCUUCCAGGCCGGCCACAUCUACACCUACGUCGGCUCGAUCCUAAUCGCCGUCAACCCUUUCAAGUUCUACCCGAUUUACAACCCCAAGUACGUCAAACUCUACCAGAACCGGCGGCUGGGCGAGUUGCCUCCGCACAUUUUCGCCGUCGCCGACGCCGCCUACAACGCCAUGAUGCGCGAUCGGAAACCCCAGUGCAUCGUCAUCAGCGGUGAAUCCGGUUCGGGCAAGACGGAGUCGACCAACUUCCUGCUGCACCACUUGACGGCCUUAUCGCAAAAGGGAAGCCAAGGCUGCGGCGUAGAGCAGACCAUACUCAGCGCCGGGCCCGUCCUUGAAGCUUUUGGCAACGCCAAGACGUCGCACAACAACAACUCUAGCCGCUUCGGCAAGUUUAUCCAAGUCAACUAUCGCGAGAAUGGACAAGUUCACGGGGCCCUCGUGCAAAAGUAUCUGCUCGAGAAGACGAGGAUCUGCUUCCAGGCGAAGAAUGAGAGAAACUAUCACGUCUUUUAUCACUUGCUCGUCGGCUCCUCGGCCCAGGAGAAACAGGCCCUUCAUCUGCUACCCCCGGAAGCAUAUCGAUACUUGAAUCAGAGCGACUACCACAACCUGGACGAAGGUGACGAGUGCUACGAGCUGUCCAGGCUCAAACAGUCGAUGGAGUUUGUUGGCUUCUGCAGCGAGACCCAGCGGCGCAUCUUUUCCGUCCUGUCGGCCGUCCUGCACAUCGGCAAUCUCGAGUUCCAGCCGAAGAAAUCGACGUACAAUCACGACGAGUCGGUGACGGUCAAGAAUACGGCCGUCGUGGCCACCAUUGCCCAGCUGCUGAGAGUCAAGGAAGAGAUUCUGCACCAGGCGCUCAUCUCCAAACGUGCCAGAGCAUCCGGAGAGACGCUCGUCAUCAACUACCGUAUGCCAGAGGCGAUUGCGGCGCGGGAUGCUAUGGCCAAAUGCCUUUACGGCUCACUGUUUGACUGGAUCGUCAUGCAACUGAACCAUGCCCUGCUGGCCAAGAAAGACGUCGACAAAAUGCAGCGGGCCUACUCGAUUGGGGUCCUCGACAUCUUCGGCUUCGAAGAUUUCGGCCACAUGAACAGUUUCGAGCAGUUCUGCAUUAACUACGCCAACGAGCACCUGCAGUACUACUUCAACCAGCACGUUUUCAAGUACGAGCAGGAGGAGUACAAGCGCGAAGGCAUCCACUGGGUCAACAUCCAGUUUGUCGACAACACGGGCUGUCUCCAGCUCUACGAGUCAAAGCCCAACGGACUCCUUUGCAUCCUGGACGAUCAGUGCAAUUUCCCCGGCGCCACCAACGAGACGCUGUUGCAAAAGUUCAACUCAGUCAACAAGGAUAACGACUACUACGAAGUGCCACAGAAGCGGGAGGCCGCCUUCAUCGUCCGGCACUACGCUGGCAAGGUCAAGUACCAGUCGAACGAAUUCCGCGAGAAGAACCUCGACCUGAUGAAGGCUGACAUCGUCGCCGUCCUCAAGUCCAGCCAGUACGCCUUCGUCCGCGAAUUGGUCGGCGGCGAUCCCGUCGCCGUCUUCCGCUGGGCCAUUUUGCGCGCCUUUAUCCGCGCCUACUUUGCCUUUAUCGAGUCCGGCAAGCGACAUCGCGAUUUGACUUUGUCGGGCCAGGACAGCCUGACGGGCAAAGGGAAAGGUGGUGACAGCGCCCGGAAAAACCGGAUGUCCAAAGCGAGAAGCCGGCCGUCGAAGAAUUGGCGCAAUUUGGAAACGGUUCGAACGCUGGCCGGGCGGUUAGGUCACAGCAGCUCGUCGCUGAAUUCAUCCGCGGCCCCUUCGAACGUUUCCUCUUCGCACGAAAAGUUGACGGUGUCGGCGUCCGGCACAACCACAGUCACAAUCACGUCGGCCGGCAGCCACCAGUCGAUCCGCAGCGAGAGCCUUCUCGUUGUCCACAAGAACGUGAAAAAAGCCCAGACGGUCGGCGCCCAGUUCCAGCACUCGCUUCAGAGCCUCAUGGUGGCGUUGAACACGGCCAACCCGUUCUUUGUCCGCUGCAUCAAAAGCAACCGACUCAAGGGCCCCAACCAAUUUGACGAGGAGAUCGUCCUCCGCCAACUCCGCUAUACCGGCAUGCUGGAAACGGUUCGCAUCCGCCAAGCUGGUUUCAAUGUCCGAUUGACGUUUGAGGAAUUCAUUCACCACUAUCGAAUCCUUCUCCCACGUGGGUUGUUGAGUUCGCAAUCAGACGUGCACGAUUUCUUGUGUCGAAUGAAUCUCAAUGCGGAGCACUACCAAAUCGGCCACCAGAAGAUCUUUUUGCGCGAGUCGGAGAAAGCCAAACUCGACUACCGGCUGCACCAGGCCAUUUUGGCCAGCAUCGUCACCAUCCAGCGCUGGUUUCGCACUUGCCUGGAGCGGCGCAAUUUCCUCUCGCUUCGCAGGGCCGUCGUCCGGAUCCAGUCCUAUGUUCGAAUGAUCAAUGCCCAGCGCCAAGUGAUGAACCUGCGCGUCCGUCACAUGGCGGCCACCUUCAUCCAGAAAGUCUGGCGCGGAUAUCAGGUCCGCCAUUGGUACACGAACCUCCGCUGCUCGGUGGUGAGUUUCCAGUGCCGGGCGAGAGGAAAUCUGGCCCGGAGGCGGUUCGAGCAGAUGAAACAGCAAGGAGACGCCCACUCGGGCAAGAGCACCGACGAGGCCUUCCUGUCGAAAGGAUCGUCGCAGGAAGAGCUGGACAAGGAAACCAAGGAUCUGAUCGAACAACUCAGUUCGGAAGAGAGUAGCGGAAUCCAGGAGGACAGCGAAUCGGAACUGAUGUAUGCGGAACUGGCUUCCGGAAUUCUGUCGUGCGCCUUGAAUUUCCCGCUGCAGUCGACGGACGACAAACGGGAUGAUCUCAAACCGAAGAGGAGCAAGCCGUCGAUUGUGAUGGCCGCCGCCAGCAGCGCGGUGGGAGCGGCCGGACCCGUAGCCCAUUCGCCGCGGAUCGGCUCCAUCGAGGAGCUGAUCCGCGGGGCCGGCGAUUCCAGCCGGACGGAGAAGAGCGGGGCCCUGCACAAAGCCAAAAAGCAUUUGAAGACGCUGAUGGGCGGCGGAUCGAAGCGGGACAAGGGCGACGCCCUCCGCCAAAUGGCCGUCCAGGGCAGCGAGGAUCGCGACAGCGACUCUGAGAGCACCUUGGUCUCGGCUUCCCGCUCGACGUCGACGCUCAACUCGGCCUCGGACUUGGAGUACGACAUGAGGUACGCCAGGGAGCGCGAGGCCAGGCGGGAAGAACGAAGGAGGAUCAUCGCCGAAAGGCUGGCCAUCCGCAGCCGGGCCAACAGCAUUUCCGACGAGUCGCACUCGCCCACUUGUCCCAAUCCGGUGCUCUGUCGGCGCUACAGCCGCGAUAUCGAAGCGGCCUCCUCGUCCAUCUACGGCUACGGACACUCGCACGGCCACGUUCACCACAGUCACUGCUGGACCUACAGUCACGCUGUCACCAGCCAUUUGCCCAUAGCGAGGAGAGGCAGCAAAGAUGGCGGGCGCAGCGUCAGCGUGGACGGAUCGUGGCGAGGCAGCCGUGACAGCCUGCGCGAGAGAGCGGCCGGCGGAGCAGCUGGCGGGAUGACGGCCUCGCCGCUGGCCCGGCGUCAAGACAGGGACAGCAGCCAAGCGUCGGUGGCCGUGUCGGUGACGUCGUCCACCUCGUCGUCGACGGCCACGGUCCGUUCCAGUUUGAGUCAAGUCCACAAGCUGACGCGGAUGAGCAAGCUGGCCAAGAACGAGGCCUGCUCGCUCUGCUCAAAGACGAUGAGCUCCUUCUUCACCCACGGCUACAAAUGCACGUCCUGUCACUUGGUGUUCCAUGCCAAAUGCGUCCAGCAAGGCAUCACGUCCACUCAGGCUCUACCACCCACAGUCCUAGAAUGUGCGCGCCCUUCGGCCAGUCCGACCCAUCCGGAACCGGAUCCUGUCCAUAAAAUCCGCAAGGGUAGCCGUGAGACGGUCGACAGUUCGCCGGGCGUGAUUCCGCUGGGCGGCAACAACGAGAGUUCCAAGUGGAACCUGACGGGCACCAGCGAAUUUACCGAUUCGACUCAAGAAGUGGUCAACGGCGGCCAACAGCUGCACAGGCUGGACGAGUUUAUCGGCCACAAAAUCCAGAACCUGGUCGAUGACACUCGCGGUGACGCCGACCGAGUUUUCCUCUCGGCUUUACGUGAACUCAGAGGAUCUCUCAUAUCGGCUUACGGAGUAGCCUCCUGUCACGGUGGGGCUGAAGAGAAUCCGGCCAUUCGAUUGACGUACCGCGACCUGAUCGCCAAUUUCGGCAAGAUCGUCGAGUCCGUCUCGCGCGACGACACCAAAUUCCCCAAGACGCUGGUGGUCAACGCCUUCCGUGGCUAUCUCAAUGAAUUCGUGGUCCAGCAGAGGGUCGACGACAAGGAAAACAGAGCCAAAGGAGGUAAAAGGAGAAAGGAGCGAUGGAAGAAACCGACAGCCGACAAGAGCCAGCGGGGCCGAGAUCGGGAAACGAAACGGGCCAAGGGCCACGACGACGCGGCCCUGCGUCACAUGGGCCACGAGUUCACGACGCUCAACAGCGUCAUCACCAUCCCGACGGCCUGCGAAGUCUGCUCCUCCUUCACCUGGCUCAAGGAGAAGGGCCUGGUGUGUCAGAGCUGCAAGUUCACCUGUCACAAGAAAUGCUACACUCGAAUCACCACGGCCUGCACGGCCUCGUCGGCCACACCUUCGGCGACGGGGCCCGGCUCGGUUGGCGGAGCUUCAUCCACGUCGGCCACCAUCAGCAUCGGCGGCCUGCCCAACCAAGCGACCGAGUCGUCUGGAAGUCUCUUUGGCGUCACCCUGGACAAGUUGGUGGGCCUUGGCGGCGGCGCCGGAUCUCAGCAGCGCCUCCCGCCCAUCAUCGAGAGGCUCAUCUCGACUAUUGAACUGGUCGGACUCUACACGGAGGGUCUCUACCGCAAGUCGGGCGUCUCCUCGCGCGUCCAGCAGCUCAAGAAACUGCUGGAGGAGGAAUCGUCGUCCAGCAAGGAAGGAGCGGCCAGUCUGGUCGACUUGCAGGAGCAGCCCAUCCACGUUCUGACGGCCGUCCUCAAAGCCUUUCUGCGCGAGCUGCCGCAGCCGCUGCUGACGUACGAGCGCUACGACGACUUUCUGCGGGCCGCCGACAUUGUCGACGCCAAGGAGCGCAUCUCCUCACUGAUGGCCCUCGUCCAGGAACUGCCUCCGCACCACUUUGACCUCCUAGAGCGGCUUGUCUUUCAUUUGACUCGGGUGGCGCUCAACGAGAAGUCGAACCGGAUGGGCCCCAACGCCCUGUCGAUCGUCUUCGCCCCGUGCAUCCUGCGGACGUCCAAGAUCCAGCAGGCCCAGGACUCGCUCUCCAACGUCAGCAAGCAAACGUCGGUGGUGGAGACGAUCCUGACGGAGCAACUGCGCCGCGUCACGGAAACGCUGGCCGACAUCGACUCGCUCGAUUCGGUCUGCCUGGCCUACGUCGCCCGCCUGGGCACGUUGCGCUCCUCGAAAAUGUUCCCGUCGACGACGGCCGUCGGCACCUGGGUCCUGCCCCAAUCGGACGCCUCGUCGACGACGGACAGUGCCGGCGGCCCUGCGGCCAAAAACCCGCACCACCGCAUCUUCCCGACCAUUUCGGCUCCGGCCUCUUCGUCGUCUUCGCUCUCGUCUCUCUCGGCCCGCGAUCAAGUCACCGAGGAGCGGAUGAUCCAGGAGCAUUUGGAUGAGCUCCGCGAAGAGAAGGCCGCCCUGGCCGCCACUCUGCCGUCGCUGGCCCGGGCCGCCAGCGACGACGACCUUCUCUCGACUGACGGCGACUUGGACGACCAGGACAGUCCCAUCGGCGGCAGCGUCGACGACCUGCCGGCCAGCAGUCAAUCGCGUUCCGAUUCGCGUCCAAGAGCCGCUGAUUUGUAGACUCGCACACACACAAAAGUCUUCCCCCCUUGUGUCUGAGUAAUAGGCAAAAAUGGGUUUCUUCCUUCGCGCCUACAUCGGCGCAUUUCAUUGGACUAUGAGGAGGAGGAGGAGGAGGAUGACGGCGAUUUGGAGUUUAUCGACGCCUCCUACCCGAAACGGGCGUCUUUGCCUUUCGUCUCGCCAUUACCGCUCCGUUGCAAAGCUGUCCAGCGUCAGCUGUCAGUCGAC